GACAAACGAUCGUGGCAAACAGAAGGGGUGCAAAUCCUGAGUCCCAGUACCUACGAAUGAAACCCUGUUUGGACACAAUUUUUUUUUUUUCUUUUUUUGCAGGUGCAACUAGCUUAAGAUGAGAUAAUCCUGGAUUAGGGUGGGUCCUAAAUACAACGACAGAUGUCCUUCUAAAAGACAGAAGAGGAGACACAGACACAGAGGAGGAGGCCACGUGGAGAGGGAGGCAGAGACUGGAGUGAUGCGGCCACAAGCCCAGGGAUGCCUGGAGCCCCCAGGAGCUGGGAGAGGCAGGAAGGACCCUCCCCUAGAUUCCCUGGAGGGAAAUGGAUACAAUUGUAGUGGACUGAACUGUGGUUCCCCCAAAAGACAUGUUCAUGUCCUAAUCCCCAGAACCUGUGAAUGGGACCUUAUUUGGAAAAGGAAUCUCUGCAGAUGUAAUUGAAUGAAAGAUUUCAAGAUAAGAUCCUCUGGAAUUAUCUGGGUGGGCCAUAAAUCCAAUGACAGGUGUCCUUGUAAGAGACAGAAGAGGAGACACAGACACAGAGGAGGAGGCCACGUGGAGAUGGAGGCAGAGACUGGAGUGAUGGGGCCACAAGCACAGGGACACCUGGAGCCCCCAGGAGCUGGGAGAGGCAGGAAGGACCCUCCCCUAGAGCCUCUAGGGAAGGCUAAAUGAAAUUGUAAUGAAUUCAACUAUUGUCCACCAGAAAGAUAUGUCCACACCCUAACCCCCAGAACUUGUGAAUGGGAGCUUACUUUGAGAAAAGAUCUUUGCAGAUGCAAGUAGUAAAAUAUUUUAAGAUGAGAUCAUCCUGCAUUACAUGGACCAUGAAUCCAAUCAUUGCUGUCUCUAUAAGAGACAGAGGAGGAGAACAGACACAGAGGGUAAGGCCGCAUGGAGACGGAGGCAGAGACUGGAGUGAUGCGGCCACAAGCACAGGGACACCUGGAGCCCUCAGGAGCUGGGAGAGGCAGGAAGGACCCUCCAUGAGAGCCUCUGGAGGGAACUGGAUACAAGUGAAGUAGAUUGAACUGUGAUCCCCCAAAAAGGAACCCCAGGAAGCUCCUGAAGCAAUCCGCCCUUCCAUCUCUGUGUCUGGCAGACACUACUGUGUGAUUCCAGCGGGACAGCACCCACCACACUCACCUUCAUUGCUCAGGGGGAAGGAACAGUCAGUCAGCUGUGAGUCACCAGAAACCAAGAGCUUUCUUAAUUUAGUUGCAUCAGCUCUUCCCGGCAGCGUAUGGAUUUCCUGCAAAAGUGGCCUCAUGAUUUAGUUAGGGAAACAGCUCCAAGGAUGGGAGACGGCUGCGCUCCACAAUUUCCCUCCUGCAGCUAGGAAGGAAGUCAGUACUGUUCUGUGGGGCUACUAGGAAACAGCGCUUAAUCCGAAGUGGAAUCUAACAUCUGGGGAAUCAGCCGUAUUUGCCUGUGAGAAAGAAAGGGAGAAGCCAUUUUUACAUCAGCCCAUGGUCCAAGGAAUUCGACAGCGAAGACCCAAGAUACUUCCAAGAGAAAGGCACAGUCCAUUGAAGAUUCUUUAUAACCUCGGAAAGGCUGUGAAGGACUGGCAGAUAGUCAACCAUCCGUCCAAGCUCCAUUCCACCUCUUGGCUUGAGCUUGGCUUGAGGAAUCCCUCCACCAUGUCACUUUACAGACUUCUGGUAGAAUCCGGGAACAUUCCACUGACCUUGCAUUUUUUCCUCCUGCUGAGUCAUGUGACUCACCAAGUCCUGGGCCAACCAAAAUGGCCAAGGCCACAGGGAGCAUGGACCAGGCCACCCAUGAGACUAUCAUGGGCAGGUACUCUUUCUCAAGCAUCUAAUUUUUUUUUCCUGCCUCCUUUUGACCUAACCAUGUUUCUCACUGCCAUUUGCUCAUCUCUGCUUUGGACAGCUUCUGACCCAUUGCUCAGACAAUAAUAUGGUUCUUUUUUUUUUGGAUGGAGUCUUGCUCUGUUUCCGGGCUGGAGUGCAGUGGCAUCAUCUCGGCUCACUGCAACCUCCGCUUCCUGAGUUCAAGUGAUUCUCCUGCCUCAGCCUCCCAAGUAGCUGGGACGACAGGCACGGGCCACCAUGCCUGGCCAAUUUUUAUGUUUUUUUUAGUAGAGACGGGGUUUCACCAUGUUGGCCAAGAUGGUCUCGAUCUCUUGACCUCCUGAUUCUCCCACCUCGGCCUCCCAAAGUGCUGGGAUUACAGGCGUGAGCCACCAUGCUCAGACAAUAAUAUGGUUCUUUCUCCUUUCCCACAGAGAUCACCUCCCAGCUUGGACCAAUCAUUUGGGCCCCAGGUAGAGGCCUCUAGGUCUAUAGCUGCGGGUUUGGAGUGAUGAAGCUUCCCUGGUAGAUAGACAAAGCUCCCAGGACCAUCCUGAGACACACUGAUGUUCCCCUGGCUCUCUGAAGCCUCUGUCACAAUUCCUCCAGCUGAGCUAGCUCUCCAUACCUCUGGCCACCCCAUAGCAACCCUCAGUUCCCCCAGACGCUCCCUACUCAAAGUGUGGUCUAUGGACCAGUGGUAUUCGCGUCACUGGGUACCUUACUAGACAUUCAGCAUCUCAGGCUUCCCUAGAUCCACUGAGUGAGAAUUCCAGUUUCACAAGCACAAGGAAGGUUUGAGAGCCGCCAUGCUGGCCAUCCUGCCCAUGGUGGGAGACAGCUGUUUAAUCCUAUCAAGGAAUCCGAGAUGGUGGUUAGUUGUGUAACCUGUUUCUUGCUCUUCUGACAGAAUUCCCGCAGUGGCCCACGCCUGUAAUCCCACCACUUUGGGAGGCCGAGGUGGGCGGAUCCCUUGAGGUCAGGAGUUUGAGACCAGCCUGGCCAACAUGGCGAAACCCCAUCACUGCUAAAAAAUACACAAAUUAGCUGGGCAUGGAGUCUGAGGCAGGAGAAUCUUUUGAACCUGGGAGGCGGAGGUUGCGGCGAGCCAAAAUCAUGCCACUGCACUCUAGCCUGGGCAAGAUACUAAGACUCUAUCUCAAAAAUAAUAAUAAUAAUAAAAUAAAUAAAUAAAUGCACACACUUCCUUUACAAAACCCUCUAGUGUGCAAGUCCAGCCACAGACAGAAAGGC